rnacentral:tRNA from 1 species
GGUGGCUCAGUGGUAGAGCGCUUGCCUUACAAGCAUGAGGCCCUGGGUCAAUUCCUCAGCACCA